rnacentral:rRNA from 1 species
UACAGAGGGCCCGAGCGUUGUUCGGAUUCAUUGGGCGUAAAGGGUGCGUAGGCGGCGGGGUAAGUCUGAUGUGAAAUCCUGGGGCUCAACCCUGGAACUGCAUUGGAUACUUCCUUGCUAGAGUACUGGAGAGGAAACUGGAAUUUACGGUGUAGCAGUGAAAUGCGUAGAGAUCGUAAGGAAGACCAGUGGCGAAGGCGAGUUUCUGGACAGUUACUGACGCUGAGGCACGAAGGCCAGGGGAGCAAACGGG